GACAGAGGGUGCAAACGUUGUUCGGAAUUACUGGGCGUAAAGCGCGUGUAGGCUGCAGGGCAUGUCGGAUGUGAAAUCCCGUGGCUCAACCACGGAAGUGCACCCGAAACUGCCCAGCUUGAGUCUCGGAGAGGAAGGCGGAAUGCUUGGUGUAGAGGUGAAAUUCGUAGAUAUCAAGCGGAACACCGGUGGCGAAGGCGGCCUUCUGGACGAUGACUGACGCUGAGACGCGAAAGCGUGGGGAGCAAACAGG
rnacentral:rRNA from 1 species